GAUGAACGCUGGCGGCGUGCCUAAUACAUGCAAGUCGAGCGAACAGACGAGGAUCUUGCUCCUCUUACGUUAGCGGCGGACGGGUGAGUAACACGCGGAUAACCUACCUAUAAGACUGGGAUAAAUUCGGGAAACCGGAGCUAAAAUCGGAUAAAAUAUUGAACCGCAGGGUCCAAUAGUGAAAGACGGUUUUGCGGUUACGUAUAGAUGGAUCCGCGCCGCAGUAGCUAGUUGGUAAGGUAACGGCUUACCCCGGCAACGAUGCGUAGCCGACCUGAGAGGGUGGUACGCCACACUGCAACUGCACCGCGGUCCAGGCUCCUACGGUACGCAGCAGUGGGGUAUCUUACGCAAUGGGCGAAAGCCUGACGGGGCCCCGCCACGUCAGUUGUGAAGGUCUUCGGCUCGUAGUUCUCUGUUUCUUGUAAAGAACAAGUGUGUAAGUAACUCUGCACGUCUUGACGGUACCUAAUCAGAAAGCCCCGGCUAACUCCGUG
rnacentral:rRNA from 1 species